UGCGUAGGCGGCGUUGUAAGUCAGAGGUGAAAGGCACGAGCUUAACUGGUGAAUUGCCUUUGAUACUGCAGUGCUUGAAUUAGGUUGAGGUUAGCGGAAUGUGACAUGUAGCGGUGAAAUGCAUAGAUAUGUCAUAGAACACCAAUUGCGUAGGCAGCUAGCUAGGCUUUAAUUGACGCUGAGGCACGAAAGCGUGGGGAGCGAACAGGAUUAGAUACCCUGGUAGUC
rnacentral:rRNA from 1 species